rnacentral:rRNA from 1 species
AGAGUUUGAUCAUGGCUCAGGAUGAACGCUAGCUACAGGCUUAACACAUGCAAGUCGAGGGGAAACGAUAUUGGAAGCUUGCUUCCGAUAGGCGUCGACCGGCGCACGGGUGAGUAACGCGUAUCCAACCUGCCCAUCACUUGGGAAUAACCUUGCGAAAGUAAGACUAAUGCCCAAUGACAUUUAUAGAAGGCAUCGGAAAUGAAUUAAAGAUUUAUUGGUGAUGGAUGGGGAUGCGUCUGAUUAGCUAGUUGGUGAGGUAACGGCCCACCAAGGCGACGAUCGGUAGCCGGACUGAGAGGUUGAACGGCCACAUUGGGACUGAGACACGGCCCAGACUCCUACGGGAGGCAGCAGUGGGGAAUAUUGCACAAUGGGGGAAACCCUGAUGCAGCGACGCCGCGUGGAGGAAGAAGGUCUUCGGAUUGUAAACUCCUGUUGUUGGGGAAGAUAAUGACGGUACCCAACAAGGAAGUGACGGCUAACUACGUGCCAGCAGCCGCGGUAAAACGUAGGUCACAAGCGUUGUCCGGAAUUACUGGGUGUAAAGGGAGCGCAGGCGGGAAGACAAGUUGGAAGUGAAAUCUAUGGGCUCAACCCAUAAACUGCUUUCAAAACUGUUUUUCUUGAGUAGUGCAGAGGUAGGCGGAAUUCCCGGUGUAGCGGUGGAAUGCGUAGAUAUCGGGAGGAACACCAGUGGCGAAGGCGGCCUACUGGGCACCAACUGACGCUGAGGCUCGAAAGUGUGGGUAGCAAACAGGAUUAGAUACCCUGGUAGUCCACACCGUAAACGAUGAUUACUAGGUGUUGGAGGAUUGACCCCUUCAGUGCCGCAGUUAACACAAUAAGUAAUCCACCUGGGGAGUACGACCGCAAGGUUGAAACUCAAAGGAAUUGACGGGGGCCCGCACAAGCAGUGGAGUAUGUGGUUUAAUUCGACGCAACGCGAAGAACCCUACCAAGUCUUGACAUCCCUUGACAGACAUAGAAAUAUGUAAUCUCUUCGGAGCAAGGAGACAGGUGGUGCAUGGUUGUCGUCAGCUCGUGUCGUGAGAUGUUGGGUUAAGUCCCGCAACGAGCGCAACCCUUAUGGUCAGUUACUACGCAAGAGGACUCUGGCCAGACUGCCGUUGACAAAACGGAGGAAGGUGGGGAUGACGUCAAAUCAUCAUGCCCUUUAUGACUUGGGCUACACACGUACUACAAUGGCGUUAAACAAAGAGAAGCAAGACCGCGAGGUGGAGCAAAACUCAGAAACAACGUCCCAGUUCGGACUGCAGGCUGCAACUCGCCUGCACGAAGUCGGAAUUGCUAGUGAUCGUGGAUCAGCAUGCCACGGUGAAUACGUUCCCGGGCCUUGUACACACCGCCCGUCACACCAUGAGAGCCGGGGGGACCCGAAGUCGGUAGUCUAACCGCAAGGAGGACGCCGCCGAAGGUAAAACUGGUGAUUGGGGUGAAGUCGUAACAAGGU